AUGGAAUUAGCUAUUGCGAAAGUUAUGCCUGACACAACACAUCGAUGGUGCAAAUGGCAUGUGCUCAAAAAAGCAAAGGAAUAUCUUGGAUCAUAUUACACGAAGCGCAGCAAAUUCAAGUCAGAUUUCCACAAAAUAGUACAGCACAUGUUGACAGUAGACGAAUUUGAAUCGGCAUGGGAGCAGAUGAUUGACACAUAUGGUCUGCAUAAGAACAAUUAUCUCACCCAGAUAUAUGAGGUGUCCCCUGUAAUGAGAAUGAACACACCCUUGGAGCAUCAUGCCAGCAAGGUGUACACUCGAGCUAUAUUUGACAUGUUUGGCCAAAUCACAUAUGAAGCAUCACAGUACAGAGUUGAAGAAGUUGAAAAAGGUAAAACAUACUUUGUCAGACGACACCAUCCAGAAAAACAUGAAAUGUGGUGCAGGAUUCUAUAUAAGGUAGAACUGGUUGAUGAUGGACCACAAGUGUUAUGUGAAUGCGGCAAUUUCGAGCACACUGGCAUAGAUCACAUACCAGAGAAGCAUAUUCUCAAACGUUGGACGAAAGAUGCACGAGAUAUACUGCCAGCCCAUCUCUCAUACCUUCAGAAGGAUAGCAUUUCUGUAAAGUCAGUAACAUUCAGACAUUCAAAUCUCUACAGCCAUGCACUUGAAGUCGUGAGGUUAGGGGAUGCAAAUCCAGAAGCAUAUGGGAUAGCAAUGGAAAUGCUCAAGAUAACAAUGGAUAAGCUAACUCCUGUAGCUGCUGUCCGUGAUGGCAUGGGAUUGGAGGACAGAACUCAGCGGAUGCAACUUAAAGACAAGGAAGCCGUUCCAGCAAUCGCAUACACGAACAGCAAUACAAGUGAUGUAGAAGGCAGUGCUAUUGGUGAUUUUGUAGGGUUGAAAGCACCAGAGCGUAAAAGGAAAGCUGGACGACCUACCAACAGCAGAGAUAAACCUCCAUACGAUGAUCGGGGUGCAAAAAGCAAAAGGUUAAAACAAUGCAAAACCGGUGAAGAUGUUGAGAAGUGCAGCACAAGCAAGCGCACUCGUUUCUGCAGCAUAUGCCGCGAACCUGGACACAAGAGCACAACUUGUCCGCAGAGCGGUGAUCUUCCUCAGAAGGAAAGGAAGGAGGCAAAAUGCUCAAAUUGCGGCGUCGGUGGCCAUAGGAGAAACACCUGCAACAACCCAAAAGUUGUUCUCCAUAUUGCUGCCAACACUGAUAUAGACACAAAUAGAAUUAGUGCUUUGGUUUGA
rnacentral:rRNA from 1 species